rnacentral:rRNA from 1 species
UGAGGAACAUGACCUUCGGCGGGGGAUAGCCGGCCCAACGGCCGGGUAAUACCGCGUACGACCACAUGGGGACACCCCUGAGUGGUGAAAGCAGCAAUGCGCCGAUGGAGUGCCUCGCGGCCUAUCAGCUAGUUGGUGAGGUAACGGCUCACCAAGGCGACGACGGGUAGCUGGUCUGAGAGGAUGGCCAGCCACAUUGGGACUGAGACACGGCCCAGACUCCGUAGGGACGG